CUUUGAUCUGAAGGAUAUUCACAAAUACAAUGGCGGUGUUCUAGCAGGAAUAUUAGAGAAGACGUUGAUACCAUGUGCCGAGGGAAAUGAUAAAUCGAAUUUAUAUUGUCUACAAGUUCUGCUAACAUCCGGUAGCGGUGGUGUCGUAAUGCAAGCUCUAUAAAUUACUGAACGUAGGUGGAAGCCCCGCCAUCAUACCUGAAUAUUCCUACCUUCCUACCUACUUCCUACCUGAUUUUAGAAUGCUACAAAUCUGAUUCUAGUGAAUAACAAGGUGGAAAAACUAUUCCAAAAUUUCAAAAACAGAGUAACUGCUUACUGCGGGAAAACUACUAUUGGUCAUGAAAAGGACGGCCCUAUAUCGCAUUACAUUUCUAUGUAUCGCAUUGCAAAAUCUGUGGUCUGGAGAUGCCCCCGGUGGGAAAGUUUAUGCCAGUAGUUGUGAG